GUUUCCUUACAAUCACCGAAGUUAAGCAACGUCGAGCCUGGUCAGUAUCUUGAUGGGUGACCGCUUGGGAAUACUAGGUG